rnacentral:rRNA from 1 species
UGGGAACCUGCCCUUGGGUACGGAAUAACAGGUAGAAAUGACUGCUAAUACCGUAUAAUGACUUCGGUCCAAAGAUUUAUCGCCCAGGGAUGAGCCCGCGUAGGAUUAGCUAGUUGGUGAGGUAAAGGCUCACCAAGGCGACGAUCCUUAGCUGGUCUGAGAGGAUGAUCAGCCACACUGGGACUGAGACACGGCCCAGACUCCUACGGGAGGCAG